rnacentral:rRNA from 1 species
GACGAACGCUGGCGGCGUGCUUAACACAUGCAAGUCGAACGGAAAGGCCCUGCUUUUGUGGGGUGCUCGAGUGGCGAACGGGUGAGUAACACGUGAGUAACCUGCCCUUGACUUUGGGAUAACUUCAGGAAACUGGGGCUAAUACCGGAUAGGAGCUCCUGCUGCAUGGUGGGGGUUGGAAAGUUUCGGCGGUUGGGGAUGGACUCGCGGCUUAUCAGCUUGUUGGUGGGGUAGUGGCUUACCAAGGCUUUGACGGGUAGCCGGCCUGAGAGGGUGACCGGCCACAUUGGGACUGAGAUACGGCCCAGACUCCUACGGGAGGCAGCAGUGGGGAAUAUUGCACAAUGGGCGGAAGCCUGAUGCAGCAACGCGGCGUGCGGGAUGACGGCCUUCGGGUUGUAAACCGCUUUCGCCUGUGACGAAGCGUGAGUGACGGUAAUGGGUAAAGAAGCACCGGCUAACUACGUG